rnacentral:rRNA from 1 species
AGCCUGAAGUUCUAUUUUAGGUGAAGCCUGCCCAGUGCAUAAUAGAGUUAACGGCCGCAGUACCCUGACUGUGCUAAGGUAGCAUAAUAAGUUGGCUUUUAAAUGGAGUCGGGAAUGAAUGGAUUUAUGGGGCUAAGCUGUCUCUCUCACAUUUUCUUGAACUUUUUUACUGAGUGAAAAUACUCAGAAUUAGAAGAAAGACGAGAAGACCCUAGGAGUUUUUACUAAAAAGAUUGUAGUCUUUUUGUUUUUGUUGGGGCGACAAGAGAGCAUAAAAACUUCUCUUUUUUAUUUGCCGACUAAUGUAAGAAAAAUUAAACUACCCUAGGGAUAACAGCGUAAUUCUUUUAGAGCUUGCGACCUCGAUGUUGGACUAGGAAUUUGUAAGGCUAGCCGCCUUAUUAUAUUGUUCUGUUCGAACUUAACUUCCUACAU